AAAGACUUGAAUGAAGAAAGUAGGAACUAAGAAGUGUAAAAGUUUCGGGUUUGGUUAUUUUAUUUUUAAAAUUAGUUUCGGUAGCCUUUUUUCAUAGCUCUCCUGUGACUUUCAAGGCAGAAAGAACUGUACCGGUGACCGGAUGGAGCCGAAAAGAGUUUUUGCAAUCAUGGACGAAAAUAAGAAUGUUGAAGGAACCACUGGAUCUGCGUGAAAUGACUACAAAUGUUCUCAAGCGAAAUACAAACAAAUGGUCACAACAACGAAGAACCCUGUAACAGUAGCAAACCAACAUAUAAUUAUAUUCAAUGUAAAGAAAGCCCUCAAUUCAUCCGAAAUCUAUGGAAACUAAUAUUGUUUUUAUGUGCAAUAAUAUUGUUUUUAUGUGCAACAUUUGGACUGCCUUCAAAUUUUGAUAUCUGUAUAGACCUAUGCAUGUUCUAGAGCUUGUUUGUUUUGUUGUGUUUAGUUUGCGAUGUCGAUGCAACGCAACACGACGUUGUCUUCGAAGUGAGCGAUGUCAAGUUCAGCGUGUGCGUCAUAUGCUAUUAUUUUGAUAAAAAAAAUUAUUUUAAUUUUUUCUCGAGUCGCCUGCGACAUCCCGCAAUCGGUCAAAUUUUUUAUAUACAUAACAUAACGCCCUCUAUCGAAUGGCGGUCUUUUUGACGAAGUUAGC